UGCAACUGCACUCUUCUGGUCCACGUUUGUUAUGGCUUGAGCUGAGCUUUUGCUCGCCAUCCACCACUGCUGUUUGCCUCCGUCGCAGACCUACCACUGACUCCCAUCCCUCCGGAUCCGGCAGGGUGUCUGCUGUGCUCCUGAUCCAGUGAGGCGCCCAUUGCCACUCCCGAUCGGGCUAAAGGCUUGCCAUUGUUCCUGCACGGCUAAGUGCCCGGGUUCGUCCUAAUUGAGCUGAACACUAGUCACUGUGUUCCAAGGUUCUCUUCCGUGACCCAUAACUUCUAAUAGAGCUAUAACACUCACCACAUGGCCCAAGAUUCCAUUCCUUGGAAUCCUGUGAGGCCAAGAACCUCAGGUCAGAGAAUAUGAGGCUUGCCACCAUCUUGGAAGUGACCCGCCGCCGUUUUGGAAGUAGCCUACCACCAUCUUGGGAGCUCUGGGAGCAAGGACCCCUGGUAACAUUUUGGAGACCACGAAGGGACAUCCAAAGUGGUCUGAUAAAUUGACCCCAGUGCUCAUCUAUUAAUUCAAAAGAAGCUUUGUGCUUGCAUCAGCGCUGCCUGACACAGGGGAAAAUGAGAAAUGCGGCCAUUGAUAUACAGAGAACGGCAAUGUGGCUAAACUGAAGAGAGUAGGCUUUUGGCCAGCUACUUCCAACAUGGCUCAUUUCAAAUUCUCACUUGUUCAACUAAAACAAAAUAUUAAUGAAUCUGCUGAAUAAAGCUUAUAAAUGCUGAAGAAUUAAUAAGGGUGAAAUCUGAAGGGCAUAAGGAUAUUUUUUUCAAUAAAUUCUCUUUGACCACUCAUGCUCAGGUGUGUUAUAUGUUACCUCUUGUUUUUAUGAAUCCUUCCAUUGUUGUAAAUGGGCUCUGUAUAACCUUUUCAAUUAGGAAAGAUCAAAGAGACUUUGAUAAAAUAUAUUGCAAAGUUACCUAUGCUUUAAAAUUUAAUAAAAAUGACCAAAUGACUAAGCAAGCACUGUUUGGUUAGAAAGUAGAUUAAUGUCAAGAAUUAUACUGAAUGUAGGUAGCUAUAUCAAAAAAGAGUGAUCAUAUGUAUGGUUAUGUUGCAAGGAGGAGAAAAUAGUUAGAUUUCUUAGUUUAAAAAUAAUUACCGGUGCUGGACGCCGUGGCUCAUGCCUGUAAUCCCAGCACUUUGGGAGGCCGAGGUGGAUGGAUCACAAAGUCGGGCGUUCAAGAACAUCCUGGCCAACGUAGUGAAGCCCCAUUUCCACCAAAAAUACAAAAAUUAGCUGGGCAUAGUGGUGUGCACCUGUAGUCCCAGCUACUCGGGAGGCCGAGGCAGGAGAAUCACUUGAAUCUCCUGGGAAGCGGAAGUUUCAGUGAGCCGAGAUGGCGCCACUGCACUCCAGCUUGGGCAACAGCGUGAGACUUUGUCUCAAAAGUAAUAUUAAUA
rnacentral:lncRNA from 1 species